UCUUUUUAUUCAUUAAUUUAGAAUCAUUUAGAACGGGUGGGCUAAUUAAGAUUUUUGAAAUGGUAAAAGUUUUACUAUCUUAGAAGGUUUAUUUAAAAUUUAAAUUUGAUAUUUUAUUUAUAAUUUUUUAAAAAUUAUUAUUAUUAUUUAAUUAUAGAUCACUUAAGCAAAUGAUAAAAAUUCUUACGACUGCAUAUUUAAAAUUUAAAAUUGUAGAUAUUUUAUCUAUAUGUUUUUUUAAAUUAAAAUUAUUAAUACUUAAUUACACUACUAUUAAGAUUGAAUGGGAUCGGAUCAAAGUCAUUAAUGUUACUUGUCAUCGACGAGAUUUGAGGUGUCUUCGGAGGGGGGAUAACACACCUCUUUUAGCUCCUUUCAACAAACUCAAUUUUGACGCAGCAAUUUGCAAGAGGAUAAUUGACUGAGGCAAUAGCGUCAAUAUUAGAAUGGUUGGCCCCACUUGCUCACAACAUGAUAAGAUGGCAAUCAGAGCACAGCUUUGAGCACCAUAACUUUAUUUAUAGGACAAAUGUGCUCCUGGUACAAACUUUUACUUCUCGAAUCUAGAGAAGACAGAAGUUACAAUGACUAGCUUUUGGGUCUUAAUUACAUUUGGAGACUUGACCGAGAACUUAAUGCAAAAGCGUCACAGGGGGUGUGAUAGUGAAAGAAUACUCGAUGAGUAUUUGGAACUAGAAGUUGGGGCAAUCACUAUCAUGUUCAAUAUUCUCAAUUUCACUCUCAUUAUUUUGUUGUGUAUAAAAAUUGAUUUAGAGUUACAAAUUAGGAGGUGAUAGUUAUGAGUUGUGGGAUACACUUUAGUGACUAUGAUUAGUGAUACUUGUCAGCAUGUAAUAUGUGUUAGGUAAACUGUUGGCUGCCAACUAAGUAAAAAUCCACUGGAUUUUCAAUUAGUAUUUUUAGAUGUAAUAAAAAUAACAAAUGUGGUAUUAAAAAUAAAUAAAUUGAAAAUUUGAUAUUAAAUGAAUACAAUUAUCAUAGUUUUAGUACCAGCGAAACAAUUAACCCGGCACGGAAGCCAUUGUUAUUGCUAGAUUUCUUCUGCCCUUAACCUGUCGUCCUGCUGGAGUUAAUGAUCCUUGUCUUUUGGGAGCUUUGGAUUUAAGGCUUGCUUCGCUGGUGGCUAAGGGUCGAGGUUGGCAUCACAUCAAAGUGGUGGGUUGUAUUGAUAUGAUGAAUUGGGUCUCUCAAACUACGGCAGACAUUCAAACGAUGUCGCAUUGCUUGCUGACAGUUUCCUUAAUUUGCAUUUUUUAUUUAUUUGUUUUCUGUUUGUAGGAGUUCAAAAUGGACAGUCCACGGUCUAGGUAAGAAGGCCCUCUAUUCUGACUAUUUUUGCUCAAAUGUUGCAGCCCAAAUGGACCACUCUAAAAAUCAAAGUAGCUAGAGAGGGUUGCAGAGACAUGGAAGUUGUCAAUUGUGUUGUUAAAGGUGGUAACCUUAAUGAUGAGUGUGAUAUUGACAAUAGAAUCAAAGUUACUGAAAUCAUGCUACAUUCAAGGCUUCCUUUCCUUUAGGUCAUACAUCAAAGUCCCCUCCCUCUCUCUCUCCUCUUUAUAAGAGAGCAUUAUUAUCAUUAUUAUGUUCAUUUGGGUUCAAAUUGUAUUGGCUCAUUGUUCAGUCAGUAGGGCCAACCUCCCAUCCACAAAAUUCAUAAUUAUGGUGUUAUCGGCUAUGCUCUAAUUGAUACAUUUAUCAAAAUAAAAUUUAUUCAUUUUCUUUAGAAAAAGACAUUAAUUUAGUUAAAAAAAAUAGAACUAAAGUAUAAACUCAAUAAUAUUAUAUGAGAAGCCAUUAGAAUGUG